GAAGGGGCGGCGUGCCUACACAUGGCAAGUCGAAAACGGGGUAUAUAAGCGGAAGUUUACGGAUGGAAGGUUAUAUACCCCCUUGAAGAGACGGGUGAGUAACGCGUGGGCAACCUGCCCCGCCCCGGGGGAUACCGCCUGGAAACAGGCGCUAAUACCGCAUAAGCGCAUACAGCCGCAUGGGUGUAUGCGGAAAGCUCCGGCGGCACGGGAUGGGCCCGCGCCCGAUUAGCCAGUUGGCGGGGUAACGGCCCACCAAAGCGACGAUCGGUAGCCGGCCUGAGAGGGCGGACGGCCACAUUGGGACUGAGACACGGCCCAAACUCCUACGGGAGGCAGCAGUGGGGAAUAUUGCACAAUGGGGGAAACCCUGAUGCAGCAACGCCGCGUGGGUGAAGGAGCGUUUCGGCGCGUAAAGCCCUGUCAGCGGGGAAGAAGAAAGACGGUACCCGACCAAGAAGCCCCGGCUAACUACGUGCCAGCAGCCGCGGCAAUACGUAGGGAGCGAGCGUUGUCCGGAUUUACUGGGUGUAAAGGGUGCGUAGGCGGCUUGGCAAGUCAGUAGUGAAAUCCAUGGGCUUAACCCAUGAACUGCUAUUGAAACUGUCGAGCUUGAGUGAAGUAGAGGUAGGCGGAAUUCCCGGUGUAGCGGUGAAAUGCGUAGAGAUCGGGAGGAACACCAGUGGCGAAGGCGGCCUACUGGGCUUUAACUGACGCUGAGGCACGAAAGCGUGGGUAGCAAACAGGAUUAGAUACCCUGGUAGUCCACGCUGUAAACGAUGAUUACUAGGUGUGGGUGGACUGACCCCAUCCGUGCCGGAGUUAACACAAUAAGUAAUCCACCUGGGGA
rnacentral:rRNA from 1 species